CCUACGGGAGGCAGCAGUGGGGAAUAUUGGACAAUGGGGGCAACCCUGAUCCAGCCAUGCCGCGUGUGUGAAGAAGGCCCUCGGGUUGUAAAGCACUUUCAGUGAGGAAGAACGCCUGGUGGUUAAUACCCAUCAGGAAAGACAUCACUCACAGAAGAAGCACCGGCUAACUCCGUGCCAGCAGCCGCGGUAAUACGGAGGGUGCGAGCGUUAAUCGGAAUUACUGGGCGUAAAGCGCGCGUAGGUGGCUUGAUAAGCCGGCUGUGAAAGCCCCGGGCUCAACCUGGGAACGGCAUCCGGAACUGUCAAGCUAGAGUGCAGGAGAGGAAGGUAGAAUUCCCGGUGUAGCGGUGAAAUGCGUAGAGAUCGGGAGGAAUACCAGUGGCGAAGGCGGCCUUCUGGACUGACACUGACACUGAGGUGCGAAAGCGUGGGUAGCAAACAGGAUUAGAUACCCCAGUAGUC
rnacentral:rRNA from 1 species